rnacentral:rRNA from 1 species
AAAACUUUCAACAACGGAUCUCUUGGUUCUGGCAUCGAUGAAGAACGCAGCGAAAUGCGACAAGUAAUGUGAAUUGCAGAAUUCAGUGAAUCAUCGAAUCUUUGAACGCACAUUGCGCCCUUUGGUAUUCCGAAGGGCAUGCCUGUUCGAGCGUCAUUA